CUUAUCCACUUGGCUACAUCCGCC
rnacentral:tRNA from 2 species